rnacentral:rRNA from 1 species
UACGUAGGGGGCAAGCGUUGUCCGGAAUCAUUGGGCGUAAAGAGCGCGUAGGCGGCCCUGUAAGUCCGCUGUGAAAGUCAAGGGCUCAACCCUUGGAUGCCGGUGGAUACUGCAGGGCUAGAGUCCGGAAGAGGCGAGUGGAAUUCCUGGUGUAGCGGUGAAAUGCGCAGAUAUCAGGAGGAACACCGAUGGCGAAGGCGAUUACCUGGGGUUGAUCUGACACUGAGGAACGAAAGCUAGGGGAGCAAACGGG